rnacentral:rRNA from 1 species
AUUGAACGCUAGCGGGAUGCUUUACACAUGCCAGUCGAACGGCAGCGCGGACUUCGGUCUGGCGGCGAGUGGCGAACGGGUGAGUAAUUUAUCGGAACGUGCCCAGUAGCGGGGGAUAACUACGCGAAAGCGUAGCUAAUACCGCAUACGCCCUACGGGGGAAAGCAGGGGAUCGUAAGACCUUGCACUAUUGGAGCGGCCGAUAUCGGAUUAGCUAGUUGGUGAGGUAACGGCUCACCAAGGCGACGAUCCGUAGCUGGUUUGAGAGGACGACCAGCCACACUGGGACUGAGACACGGCCCAGACUCCUACGGGAGGCAGCAGUGGGGAAUUUUGGACAAUGGGGGCAACCCUGAUCCAGCCAUCCCGCGUGUGCGAUGAAGGCCUUCGGGUUGUAAAGCACUUUUGGCAGGAAAGAAACGUAGCGGGCUAAUACCCCGUGGAACUGACGGUACCUGCAGAAUAAGCACCGGCUAACUACGU